rnacentral:tRNA from 1 species
GGGUUGUUAGCUCAGUUGGCUAGAGCAUCUCGUUUACACCGAGAGGGCCGGGGGUUCGAGUCCCUCACAACCCA